UGAAUGGAAGGGCCAUCGCUCAACGGAUAAAAGGUACUCCGGGGAUAACAGGCUGAUACCGCCCAAGAGUUCAUAUCGACGGCGGUGUUUGGCACCUCGAUGUCGGCUCAUCACAUCCUGGGGCUGAAGUAGGUCCCAAGGGUAUGGCUGUUCGCCAUUUAAAGUGGUACGCGAGCUGGGUUUAGAACGUCGUGAGACAGUUCGGUCCCUAUCUGCCGUGGGCGCUGGAGAACUGAGGGGGGCUGCUCCUAGUACGAGAGGACCGGAGUGGACGCAUCACUGGUGUUCGGGUUGUCAUGCCAAUGGCACUGCCCGGUAGCUAAAUGCGGAAGAGAUAAGUGCUGAAAGCAUCUAAGCACGAAACUUGCCCCGAGAUGAGUUCUCCCUGACCCUUUAAGGGUCCUGAAGGAACGUUGAAGACGACGACGUUGAUAGGCCGGGUGUGUAAGCGCAGCGAUGCGUUGAGCUAACCGGUACUAAUGAACCGUGAGGCUUAA
rnacentral:rRNA from 1 species